rnacentral:rRNA from 1 species
AUUGAACGCUGGCGGCAGGCCUAACACAUGCAAGUCGAGCGGAUGAGAGGAGCUUGCUUCUCGAUUCAGCGGCGGACGGGUGAGUAAUGCCUAGGAAUCUGCCUGGUAGUGGGGGACAACGUUUCGAAAGGAACGCUAAUACCGCAUACGUCCUACGGGAGAAAGCAGGGGACCUUCGGGCCUUGCGCUAUCAGAUGAGCCUAGGUCGGAUUAGCUAGUUGGUGAGGUAAUGGCUCACCAAGGCGACGAUCCGUAACUGGUCUGAGAGGAUGAGCAGUCACACUGGGACUGAGACACGGUCCAGACUGCUACGGGAGGCAGCAGUGGGUAAUAUUGGAGAAUGGGCGAAAGCCUGAUCCAGCCAUGCCGCGUGUGUGAAGAAGGUCUUCGGAUUGUAAAGCACUUUAAGUUGGGAGGAAGGGUUGUAGAUUAAUACUCUGCAAUUUUGACGUUACCGACAGAAUAAGCACCGGCUAACUCUGUGCCAGCCGCCGCAGUAAGAC